GAUUAUGGCUCAGGAUGAACGCUGGCGGCGUGCUUAACACAUGCAAGUCGAACGGAGUACUGAGAAUGAAGUUUCGGAUGGAUUUUCAGUACUUAGUGGCGGACGGGUGAGUAACGCGUGGGUAACCUGCCUCACACAGGGGGAUAACAGUUGGAAACGACUGUUAAUACCGCAUAAGACCACAGUACCGCAUGGUACAGGGGUAAAAACUCCGGUGGUGUGAGAUGGACCCGCGUCUGAUUAGUUAGUUGGCGGGUAACGGCCCACCAAGACGACGAUCAGUAGCCGAUCUGAGAGGAUGACCGGCCACAUUGGGACUGAGACACGGCCCAAACUCCUACGGGGGGCAGCAGUGGGGAAUAUUGCACAAUGGGGGAAACCCUGAUGCAGCGACGCCGCGUGAGUGAAGAAGUAUUUCGGUAUGUAAAGCUCUAUCAGCAGGGAAGAAGAUGACGGUACCUGAGUAAGAAGCCCCGGCUAACUACGUGCCAGCCGCGGC
rnacentral:rRNA from 1 species